UACGUAGGUGGCGAGCGUUGUCCGGAAUGAUUGGGCGUAAAGGGCGCGCAGGCGGCCUGUCAAGUCAGUAGUGGAAGUCAAUUUUUCAAGGAUGGAAGUGCUAUAGAAACUGAUGGGCUUGAGUGCAGGAGAGGUUAUCGGAAUUCCCGGUGUAGCGGUGAAAUGCGUAGAGAUCGGGAGGAACACCAGUGGCGAAGGCGGGUAACUGGACUGCAACUGACGCUGAGGCGCGAAAGUGUGGGGAGCAAACAGGAUUAGAUA
rnacentral:rRNA from 1 species